CCUACGGGAGGCAGCAGUCGAGAAUCAUUCACAAUGGGGGAAACCCUGAUGGUGCGACGCCGCGUGGGGGAAUGAAGGUCUUCGGAUUGUAAACCCCUGUCAUGUGGGAGCAAAUUAAAAAGAUAGUACCACAAGAGGAAGAGACGGCUAACUGUGUGCCAGCAGCCGCGGUAAUACAGAGGUCUCAAGCGUUGUUCGGAAUCACUGGGCGUAAAGGGUGCGUAGGCUGUUUCGUAAAGCGAGUGUGAAAGGCGCGGGCUCAACCCGCGGACGGCCGAUGAUACUGGGAGACUAGAGUAAUCGAGGGGGAACCGGAAUUCUCGGUGUAGCAGUGAAAUGCGUAGAUAUCGAGCGGAACACUCGUGGCGAGGGCGGGUUCCUGGACAUUAACUGACGCUGAGGCACGAAGGCCCGGGGAGCGAAAGGGAUUAGAUACCCGAGUAGUC
rnacentral:rRNA from 1 species